AUUUUGUUUGGAGAGUUUGAUCCUGGUUCAGGACGAACGCGGGCGGGGUGCUUAACACAUGCAAGUCGAACGGAAAGGCCCUUCGGGGUACUCGAGUGGCGAACGGGUGAGUAACACGUGGGUGAUCUGCCCUGCACUCUGGGAUAAGCCUGGGAAACUGGGUCUAAUACCGGAUAGGACCACACACUUCAUGGUGAGUGGUGCAAAGCUUUUGCGGUGUGGGAU
rnacentral:rRNA from 1 species